GAUGAACGCUGGCGGCGUGCUUAACACAUGCAAGUCGAACGAUGAAGCCCAGCUUGCUGGGUGGAUUAGUGGCGAACGGGUGAGUAACACGUGAGUAACCUGCCCUUAACUCUGGGAUAAGCCUGGGAAACUGGGUCUAAUACCGGAUAGGAGCGUCCACCGCAUGGUGGGUGUUGGAAAGAUUUAUCGGUUUUGGAUGGACUCGCGGCUUAUCAGCUUGUUGGUGGGGUAAUGGCUCACCAAGGCGACGACGGGUAGCCGGCCUGAGAGGGUGACCGGCCACACUGGGACUGAGACACGGCCCAGACUCCUACGGGAGGCAACAGUGGGGAAUAUUGCACAAUGGGCGGAAGCCUGAUGCAGCGACGCCGCGUGAGGGAUGACGGCCUUCGGGUUGUAAACCUCUUUCAGUAGGGAAGAAGCGAGAGUGACGGUACCUGCAGAAGAAGCACCGGCUAACUACGUG
rnacentral:rRNA from 1 species